rnacentral:rRNA from 1 species
CAGCUUGUUGGUGGGGUAAUGGCCUACCAAGGCUGCGAUCGGUAGCUGGUCUGAGAGGAUGAUCAGCCACAUUGGGACUGAGACACGGCCCAAACUCCUACGGGAGGCAGCAGUGGGGAAUAUUGGACAAUGGGCGCAAGCCUGAUCCAGCAAUGCCGCGUGGAUGAAGAAGGUUUUCGGAUUGUAAAGUCCUUUCGGCGGGGACGAUGAUGACGGUACCCGCAGAAGAAGCCCCGGCUAACUUCGUGCCAGCAGCCGCGGUAAUACGAAGGGGGCUAGCGUUGCUCGGAAUGACUGGGCGUAAAGGGCGCGUAGGCGGUUUGUUUAGUUAGACGUGAAAUUCCUGGGCUCAACCUGGGGACUGCGUUUAAUACAGGCAGACUUGAGUGUGGAAGAGGGUUGUGGAAUUCCCAGUGUAGAGGUGAAAUUCGUAGAUAUUGGGAAGAACACCGGUGGCGAAGGCGGCAACCUGGUCCAUUACUGACGCUGAGGCGCGAAAGCGUGGGGAGCAAACAGGAUUAGAUACCCUGGUAGUCCACGCCGUAAACGAUGUGUGCUGGAUGUUGGGUGACCUAGUCACUCAGUGUCGUAGCUAAC